rnacentral:misc_RNA from 1 species
CUGGAGUUGGAUCCCAAGCAGUAUCACGUAAUUGCUUUUGAGGAUGCUGGUGACUGUAAAAACCUUUGCUAUAUAAUACAGGCUCAAAUGGAAAUGCUCGGCAAUGGGAAUGCCUUUGUUGUGGCACGACCUCCUAAGGAUGCUUAUCGGGAUGCCAAAACAAAUGGUUUUAAUGUGACAGUAAUCAAGAAAGGGCAGUUGCAGCAGCUCAAUGUGGACCAGUCAUUGGAAGAGGUGGAGGAAGCUAUCACGGAUAUUGGGAG